rnacentral:rRNA from 1 species
GGUUAAGUUAAUAAGGGCGCACGGUGGAUGCCUUGGCACUAGAAGCCGAAGAAGGACGUGACAAACGACGAAAUGCUUUGGGGAGCUGUAAGUAAGCGCUGAUCCAGAGAUGUCCGAAUGGGGGAACCCACUAACUAAUGGUUAGUAUCCAUAACUGUUAAGGUUAUGAGAAGGAAGACGCAGUGAACUGAAACAUCUAAGUAGCUGCAGGAAGAGAAAGCAAACGCGAUUGCCUUAGUAGCGGCGAGCGAAACGGCAGGAGGGCAAACCGAAGUGUUUACACUUCGGGGUUGUAGGACUGCGACGUGGGACUUUAAAAGGAUAGAAGAAUUACCUGGGAAGGUAAGCCAAAGAGAGUAAAAGCCUCGUAUUUAAAAUUCUUUUGAGCCCUAGCAGUAUCCGGAGUACGGCGAGACACGUGAAAUAUCGUGGGAAUCUGGGAGGACCAUCUCCCAACCCUAAAUACUCUCUAGUGACCGAUAGUGAACCAGUACCGUGAGGGAAAGGUGAAAAGCACCCCGGGAGGGGAGUGAAAUAGAACCUGAAACCGUGUGCCUACAACAAGUUCGAGCCCGUUAAUGGGUGAGAGCGUGCCUUUUGUAGAAUGAACCGGCGAGUUACGAUAUGAUGCGAGGUUAAGUUGAAGAGACGGAGCCGUAGGGAAACCGAGUCUUAAUAGGGCGAUUUAGUAUCAUGUUGUAGACCCGAAACCAUGUGACCUACCCAUGAGCAGGUUGAAGGUGAGGUAAAACUCACUGGAGGACCGAACCAGGGCACGUUGAAAAGUGCUUGGAUGACUUGUGGGUAGCGGAGAAAUUCCAAACGACAUUGGAGGUAUCGGGUUCUCUCCGCAA